CCUAGGAACCGGGAGAGGUAAGACGUACUUCGGGGGUAGGAGUGAAAUCUUGUAAUCCCCGAGGGACGACCGAUGGCGAAGGCAUCUUACCAGAACGGCUUCGACAGUGAGGGACGAAAGCUGGGGGAGCAAACCGGAUUAGAUACCCGGGUAGUCCCAGCCGUAAACGAUGUGCGUUAGGUGUGUCAGCGACCACGAGUCGCUGAGGUGCCGAAGGGAAAC
rnacentral:rRNA from 1 species